GAUGAAGAACGCAGCGAAAUGCGAUAAGUAAUGUGAAUUGCAGAAUUCAGUGAAUCAUCGAAUCUUUGAACGCACAUUGCGCCCCCUGGUAUUCCGGGGGGCAUGCCUGUCCGAGCGUCAUUGCUGCCCUCAAGCACGGCUUGUGUGUUGGGCCCCGCCCCCCGGCUCCCGGGGGGUGGGCCCGAAAGGCAGCGGCGGCACCGCGUCCGGUCCUCGAGCGUAUGGGGCUUCGUCACCCGCUCCGUAGGCCCGGCCGGCGCCCGCCGGCGACCCCCCUCAAUCUUUUCAGGUUGACCUCGGAUCAGGUAGGGAUACCCGCUGAACUUAAGCAUAUCAAUAAGCGGAGGA
rnacentral:misc_RNA from 1 species